GGCGGCGGCUUACACAUGCAGUCGCACGAGAACGCUCCUUCGGGAGCAAGUAAAGUGGCGGCCUUUUGCGUAACGCGUAGACAACCUGCCCUUGAGCGGACGAUAACCACGGGAAACUGUGGCUAAUACUCCAUAACGUCCGGAGCCCGCAUGGGGUCCGGAUCAAAGCCUUCGGGUGCUCAGGGAUGGGUCUGCGUCGGAUUAGCUCGUUGGUGAGGUAACAGCUCACCAAGGCAACAAUCCGUAGCUGGUCUGAGAGGAUGAUCAGCCACACUGGCACUGAGACACGGGCCAGACUCCUACGGGAGGCAGCAGUGGGGAAUCUUAGGCAAUGGGGGAAACCCUGACCUAGCCAUGCCGCGUGGAGGAAGACACCCCUACGGGGCGUAAACUCCUUUUCUGCCGGAAGAAAACCCUGUUUUGCAGGGCGUGACGGUACGGCAGGAAUAAGCACCGGCUAACUCCGUGCCAGCAGCCGCGGUAAUACGGAGGGUGCAAGCGUUGUCCGGAAUCACUGGGCGUAAAGGGUGUGCAGGUGGGACCGCAAGUCAGGGGUGAAAGCCCACAGCUUAACUGUGGAAGUGCCCUUGAAACUGCUGUUCUUGAGUCCUGGAGAGGUUGCCGGAAUUCGUGGUGUAGCGGUGAAAUGCGUAGAUAUCACGAGGAACACCAGAGGCGUAAGCGGGCAACUGGACAGGUACUGACACUGAGGCACGAGAGCGUGGGGAGCAAACAGGAUUAGAUACCCUGGUAGUCCACGCCGUAAACGAUGAAUGCUCGCCGUUGUCCUGUUAGGGGACAGUGGCUAAGCUAACGCGUUAAGCAUUCCGCCUGGGGAGUACGACCGCAAGUUUGAACUCCAAGGAAUUGACGGGGGGCCCCACAAGCGGUGGAGCAUGUGGCUUAAUUCAAUGCAACGCGAAGAAACUUACCUAGGCUCAACACUACCGGAAUCGGUUCGGAAAAGGACCCUCCCGUAAGGGCUGGUAGGGAGGGGCUGCAUGGCUGCCGUCAGCUCGGGUCUUGAAAUGUUUGGGUAAAUCCCCAAAACAGCCCCACCCCGGUUGGUUGUUACCUCGGGGAAUGGCGGGAACCUUAGGAAAUGGCCUGCCAAAGAGGGGGGGAAGGGGGGA
rnacentral:rRNA from 1 species